GCCAGCAGCAUAUCACCCUGCAACUCACAACUGGCAACCCACUGAAGCUCAGCAGGUGUGAGCUUGGUCAGUACCUGGAUGGGAGACCUCCUGGGAAAAACUAAAGUUGCUGCUGUAA
rnacentral:rRNA from 1 species